rnacentral:rRNA from 1 species
UACGUAGGGUGCAAGCGUUAAUCGGAAUUACUGGGCGUAAAGCGUGCGCAGGCGGUUGUGCAAGACAGAUGUGAAAUCCCCGGGCUCAACCUGGGAACUGCAUUGGUGACUGCAUCGCUCGAGUAUGGCAGAGGGGGGUAGAAUUCCACGUGUAGCAGUGAAAUGCGUAGAGAUGUGGAGGAAUACCGAUGGCGAAGGCAGCCCCCUGGGUCAAUACUGACGCUCAUGCACGAAAGCGUGGGGAGCAAACAGG